CUAAGUUUGAUGGCGACCGGCGCACGGGUGAGUAACACGUAUCCAACCUGCCGAUGACUCGGGGGAUAGCCUUUCGAAAGAAAGAUUAAUACCCGAUGGCAUAGUUCUUCCGCAUGGUAGAACUAUUAAAGAAUUUCGGUCAUCGAUGGGGAUGCGUUCCAUUAGGUUGUUGGCGGGGUAACGGCCCACCAAGCCUUCGAUGGAUAGGGGUUCUGAGAGGAAGGUCCCCCACAUUGGAACUGAGACACGGUCCAAACUCCUACGGGAGGCAGCAUG
rnacentral:rRNA from 1 species